UGGGGUGUGGCCAAGCGGUAAGGCGACGGGUUUUGGUUCUGUUAUUCGAAGGUUUGAAUCCUUUCGUCCCAG
rnacentral:tRNA from 2 species